AAUUGUCUGGAGAAUUGGAUUGUCUUGGUUGCAGGAUCCACCCUGGAAAACAAUUGAUGUACAACAGCAGAAAGUGAGAUAGAGAAUACACAGAUACACCUGAGCUGCAGGUAAACUUUAUUAUCUAUAUAUACAUUAAACACACACACAACUGGACUUAUGUGUUUGUUGCUGCAUUAUCCAUGCUUUUGGUUUUAGUUGUGUAAUAUUGGUGUGUUUGUGUUGUUUCUAAACAUUUGAAAGGACUAUACUCAUUUCUACUUCUCUGUGUGAGACAGAUGUGUUGCUGCAUAAUCCAUGCUUUUCUGUAUCCUGAAAUAAGUUUGUUUUUGUAAUUGUGUUUAUUUUAGACUUGUACUGAUUCAGUUCUUCCAAAGACUCGAAUGGACUAUACUUCCCUUUACACACACACACAAACACACACUCUUACACUUUAAUGCUAAUGAAGAUUUGUGUUGUAACUCAGGUAUGUUUGAGCGCACACUUCUGGGGAUGUGUGUGUGUGUGGCACUUUGUCUCUCUCAGAAUGCUGACUCUGUUUCUGAUGCUGAGCAACACACUGAGCAGCAGGAUCCAUUCACACACAAACAAACCUAUGUCCAUGUCAAUAAUAGGCUGGGUGUGUUCAUUGCUGCUGCAGUGGGAACCAUGACGCUUAUGGGAGUGAUCUACUGCAUCUACAACCACUUCUACACUAAACAUCCAUACACACACACACAGCUACAGGAGACAGACUCCACUGUGGAUAUGAGUGGACUGUCCCCUCCUGUUUUUCAUAGUUGUGGGAGAACAGAUGGGUGGAUGAUGCGAGGAACGGGGAGAGGUGGAGAAGGCGUUAGUUACGGUUCUCUCUCUGACACGCCCUCCAUCAUCACUCUCCCUCCAGCACUCUCUCCCACGCCUCUUGCAUCACCCUUUCCCCCACCUCGCCCACCACGCCCUGCCCCGCUCAGAACAAUCUCUGCCCAGGAGCUGCAGAAAAACUUCCUCUGACAAGCCCCUCAUUCCAAAGAGCUCGACCAGUCAGAUUAGAGUGCAGUAAAUGCUAUGUCACUGUCCAAUCCUAUAGUGCUUUUAACAAUGUAUAUACAGUAAUCCCCCGCUUUACCAUGGUUCCAAUCUCACGCCCCCGGUUUAGCAUGCGCUUUUUUGUUUAUCGUGGCCGGUUUUGGAACGUAACGGGGGAUUACUGUAGUCUUCCAAUAGUGUUUACUAUUUGAGGUACCACCAAACUAUUUGCUUGAAGUAGGUGUGAUAGAUGAUAAUAAACCAAAAGUUUGCUUAUACUAUAGCGACUAUAGAGUAGCAAGUAGCGAGACUAUAGCGACCGUGCAGUGCUUUGUAGGAUUUGAAUGGGAGCCAAUGUCAACUAAAUACAGGGGUAAUGUGAUUAGAGUGUAGUACGCCUGUCUUAUCACUGAGCUCGACCAAUUAGAUAAGGGUGUAAAAGCCAAAUUAAGUUGUCUAAUUACAUCCCCAAUUCCAAAAAAGUAGUAACACUGUGUAAAAUGUAAAUAAAAACAGAAUGUAUUGAUUUGCAAAUAUCAUAAAUCCAUAUUUUAUUUACAAUAGAACAUAGAAUACAUAUCACAUGUUCAAACUGAGAAUGUAUAGCAUUUUAAGGAUAAAAUUAGGAUAUGUUGAAUUUAAUGGUUGCAACAAAUCUAAAAAAAAGUCACUACAAGACCAUGUAUAGUGCCAUGUCUUCUGUCUGUAUACAUUUGGGAACUGAGGAGACCAGUUGCUGAAGUUUUUUGGAGAGAGAUGUUGUCCCAUAUGUGGGUUAUACAGGAUUUUAUUUGCUUAACACAUCUGGGUUUCCUUUGUUGUGUUUUUGUUUCAUGAUGCACAGAAUAUUUUCAAAUGGUGAAAGUGAACUGAGCACUGAUGGUUCCUCUCAUCUUUAGUCUGAAGGACGUGGUACCCAUGGCUUCUUAAAAGAAAUUUAGAUUACGAUUUUCUGACCACAAGAACAGUUUUCCACUUUGCCUCUGUAUAUUUAAAAUGAGCUUUGGCCCAGAGAGGAUAGCAGCGUUUUUUAGAUCAUAUUCAUGCAUGCCUCAUCCUUUGCAUGAUAGAUUUAACUAUUCAAUUCAAUUCAUUUUUAUUUGUAUAGCGCUUUUAACAAUGAACUUUGUCUCAAAGCAGCUUUACACAGAUAAUGUGGUGAUUAAACAUAAAGGGUAGAAGGUCUUGUGAGGUCUUGUGAGAUUGUCUGAAGCAUAGUUGAAGAGAUUUUAUCCAGGUGGUGGGAUUUCAAGAUUGGAUGAUUUACAGUAUCUCUUCUUCUGCUAUGGUUGAGAAACUAGACAAUUAAAUAGAAGGGGUUCCUGGGUUUGUAGUGUAGUUAUUGUUGGGGAAGAAGGGGGCAGAUUUCCUUAAUAUUCUUACGGUAAAAGGAGGCAAAGUCUUCAGCAGUCAGGGAGAAUGAAGCAGGUGGAGCAUUCGGGCUGAGUAGUGAAGAGAUGAUGGGGAGCUUACAAGCAUCUUGUGCAGAAGCCUCAAGCUUAUUUACAUUUUACACAGUGUCCCAUUUUUCUAUGGAAUUGGGGUUGUAUGUCCAGGUUUAGAAUGAGCUUCUUCCAGUCACACUGAGGAGAGAGGGAGAGGGAGAGGGGGAGAGAGAGAGUGUGUGUGU